rnacentral:rRNA from 1 species
UGGGAACAUACCCUUAGGUUCGGAAUAGCUCAGGGAAACUUGAGGUAAUACCGGAUAAGCCCUUCGGGGGAAAGAUUUAUCGCCAUUGGAUUGGCCCGCGUCUGAUUAGCUAGUUGGUGAGGUAAUGGCUCACCAAGGCGACGAUCAGUAGCUGGUCUGAGAGAAUGAUCAGCCACAUUGGGACUGAGACACGGCCCAAACUCCGUACGGGAGGCAG